rnacentral:lncRNA from 8 species
GUCUGAGGUCAGCAAAACCCUCCAUGGCUCUCUCUAUGAAGCAUCUGGUGACAGAGGGAAAGCUGCUCUGGGUUAGUGAGAGAAAAAGGUUAUGGUUAGGGAAGGAGUGAAGGAGGGGUUCAUUGGGCUAAGAAAGGGAGAGAGAGAGAGAGAGAGAGAGAGAGAGAGAGAGAGAGAGAGAGAGAGAGAGAGAACUGAAAAAGAGAAAAGGUUGAGAGAGGAAAGGGGGUAUAAUUCAAAUCCACUAUCUGUUGGAAUGAUACUCAUUCAGCUGACAGUAUUCCUAACAAGUAUUUCAGUGGCUAGAACGGAGUGAUUGGAAUGGCAUCAAACACAUGGAAACCAUGUGUUUGAUGUUGUUGAUACCUUUCCACGUAUUCCGCUCCAGCCAUUACCACGUGCCUGUCCUCCACAAUUAAGGUGCCACCAACCUCCGGUGCUGUACAUGUAUGCACACUUACACAGAUGCAGACACAUACAGAAACAGACAAACUUUUGUUUAAGGGCACAUGUUUUGUUGUCCAAAUGAAAAGAAUCAUAGGGUUAUUACAUAAUCAAAUAUGUUUCUUAUAAUUACCUUAUCACCUAAUCACUCAGAGCAGGAGACUAAAAUAUAUCUUAGAAAUGUACAUUCUGAAGUUACAGUCUCUCCCCCUUUCUCUGUCUCUCUUCCACUUUCUCUUUUUCUUUCUCUCUCUCCCUCUUUCUCUGUCUCUCUCCCUCUUUCUCUGUCUCUCUUCCCCUCUCUCCCUCUUUCUAUGUCUCUCUUCCUCUCUCUCUCCCUCUUUCUCUCUCUCUCCCUCUUUCUCCUUUUCUUUCUCUCUCUCUCUCUCUCUCUCUCUGCCUCUUUCUCUCUCUCUUCCUCUUUCUCUUUUUCUUUCUCUCUCUCUCUCUCCCUCUUUCUCUGUCUCUCUUCCUCUUUCUCAUUUUCUUUCUCUCUCUCCCUCUUUCUCUCUCUCUUCCUUUCUCUUUUUCUUUCUCUCUCUCUCUUCCUCUUUCUCUCUCUCUCUCUCUUCCUCUUUCCCUUUUUAUUUCUCUCUCUCCCUCUUUCUCUGUCUCUAUUCCUCUUUCUCUUUUUCUUUCUCUCUCUCUCUCUUCCUCUUUCUCUGUCUCUCUUCCCCUCUCUCUUUUUCUUUCUCUCGCUCCCUCUUUCUCUGUCUCUUCCCCGCUCUCUUUUUCUUUUUCUCUCUCCCUCUUUCUCUGUCUCUCUUCCCCUCUCCCUUUUUCUUUCUUUCUUUCUUUCUUUCUUUCUUUCUUUCUUUCUUUCUUUCUUUCUUUCUUUCUUUCUUUCUUUCUUUCUUUCUUUCUUUCUUUCUUUCUUUCUUUCUUUCUUUCUUUCUCUCUCUCUCUCUCUCUCUCUCUCUCGCUUUCUCUCUCUCUCUCUCCCUCUUUCUCUGUCUCUCUUCCCCUCUCUCUUUUUCUUUUUCUCUCUCUCUCUCUCUCUCUCUCUCGCUUUCUCUCUCUCUCUCUCCCUCUUUCUCUGUCUCUCUUCCCCUCUCCCUUUUUCUUUCUUUCUUUCUUUCUUUCUUUCUUUCUUUCUUUCUUUCUUUCUUUCUUUCUUUCUUUCUUUCUUUCUUUCUUUCUUUCUUUCUUUCUUUCUUUCUUUCUUUCUCUCUCUCUCUCUCUCUCUCUCUCUCUCUCUUUCUCUCUCUCUCNNNNNNNNNNNNNNNNNNNNNNNNNNNNNNNNNNNNNNNNNNNNNNNNNNNNNNNNNNNNNNNNNN